rnacentral:RNase_P_RNA from 1 species
GAGAAGACCGCCGAUGGCCCUAGGGCACAGGUAAGGGUGAAAGGGUGCGGUAAGAGCGCACCGGACGACUAGUAAUAGUUCGUAGCAGGGUAAACUCCACCUGAAGCAAGACCAAAUAGGCCUCCACAUUGCGUUGCUCGCGUAAGGAGGCGGGUAGGUUGCUCGAGCCAGUGAGUGAUUGCUGGCCUAGACGAAUGGCUACCGCCGCGCAAGCGGAACAGAACCCGGCUUAUGUGUCGGCUCCACCU